rnacentral:lncRNA from 1 species
GGGGAUAAUCGGAUCCCGACUCGGUCCGGUCCGAUCUCGUUGACGAUCGCCUCGACGAUUUCUAGAGCGAAUCGGCAACGGUUUUGUAAGGAGCCGCCGUAUUGGUCAGUCCGGUCGUUUAAUUGGUCUUUCAUGAAUUGCUCGAUUAGGUAACCAUGAGCACCGGAGAUCUCAACUCCAUCAAAACCUAUAUAUGUUUUAUAAAAAUAAGAUAUGAUCUCAACACUUGUUUAUGCAGAACAACGUGGUUUUUUUUUCCCUAAAUCCAUAUUCAACACUUUCUCAAAUUAUUAUAAGUUUUAAACUUCUUUCAGUUAACCAUUAAUCUCCUUUUUUUGUGUGUGUUAUCUCAUAGAAUCGAUGAUUCUUACCAGCUUCAAUUGCAUUUCUUGCAGCAAGUCUGAAAUCAUUAACAACAAGCGGAAUCUCCUCUGUAGUUAGCUUCCUUGGAGAUGAAAAUCGUGCAACACCAAUGCCAUUGCUUCGUGGUUGAGGAAAUAGUUUUUUAUCUGUGGAAGAUAUUGGGGCUUGCCCAUUUGGCUGUAAAUCUGCUCAAUAGAUGAAGAAUUUAAAAGGUUGGUUAAAAGCAUGUCGACUUAAAAGACAACUUAGUAACCAUUGCAAGAAUUAGCCACUUACUUUUCUUUUUAUACCAAUAGGGGCAAUGUACUUUUUAUACCUAGUAUUUUGAAAAUGUUCUGUUACAAUGUUGUAAACAGAAGAAAAAAAAAAGUAGUAUGCUAUAACAAAUUAAUCAGUUAAGUUAAAGUA